CAAUCUUUGAUCGAUGAUAGAUUGCUUAGGAUGUUUAUGUGGUCGUGGUGAUUGGAUUUGCAUGCCUGAUCUACUGAUGAGUAUGACAUGUUCUUAUGAUUGUGCCCUUAGAUUACCUAUGCUCAUAGAGGGGAUCGUGAUCGGUUCUUCCUUGUGUAAGAUGGGGGUUUUCAGAAGCAAGAACGGAGGUGUAUAUUUAAAUAUGUUUUUGCUGAGAUUAUAUCUGUGUUGUUUUGCUAUCCAUGCUCAUAAUUAAAAUAUAUGCAUAGUCUAGGUUGCUCUAGAUUGGUUACCCCUGCUCUAUCUGUUAUCUAUCUAUGUACGGUAGAAUAGAUCUGAAUUAUUCAACAAAAGGCUCAUACUGACAUGCUAGUUGAAAUAGAUCUUGUAUUAUAAGUUCCACGGAUUGAUAAACCUUGGGGUAGUACUCUGAGGGAAGAGCUACAACUGAUCCGUGCGCUUGCGGUUUACAAAUUGGCGCACUAACUGUCGUCAACAAGCUUUUCUUGCAUCGUUGCUGGGGAACUAAUAAACAAGUUCUAGUUUAACUAUGCAUCUGUACAUAUGACUUUUUGUUCAUGAUUUUUCAGUGUUUUGUUUUUAAUCUUUUCAUUUUCAUUCAAUCUCAAUCAAAAGUUCAAGUUUAGUUCUUAUAUAUAUGUGUUUGCUUUCACUAACGGUAACUGGAGAUGGAUUGCUACCUCUCCAAAAAUUUAAAAUUUUGUGGAUGAUCCAGAAAAAGACAAAGG
rnacentral:lncRNA from 1 species